rnacentral:rRNA from 1 species
AAACCUACGGGCGUCCGCCUUCUUUCAUCUUCCCCAAUGUGCGCAAGCCUGAUGGAGCAACGCCGCGUGGGUGAAGAAGGUCUUCGGAUCGUAAAACCCUGUUGUUAGAGAAGAAAGUGCGUGAGAGUAACUGUUCACGUUUCGACGGUAUCUAACCAGAAAGCCACGGCUAACUACGUGCCAGCAGCCGCGGUAAUACGUAGGUGGCAAGCGUUAUCCGGAUUUAUUGGGCGUAAAGGGAACGCAGGCGGUCUUUUAAGUCUGAUGUGAAAGCCUUCGGCUUAACCGGAGUAGUGCAUUGGAAA